UCUGAAUUUGAUUAAAAAUGA
rnacentral:piRNA from 1 species